UUGGGGUGUAGCUCAACUGGCAGAGCACUCGACUGUUAAUCGAGCGGUUGGUGGUUCGAGUCCACCCGCCCCAGU
rnacentral:tRNA from 1 species